UGAAAUUUUCUGACUGCGGUUCUAAUAUAAAAAGACCAAAGCCACCUGGGGCACAUUAUAGAAAGAAGAAGAAAGAUGAGGAUGAAAGGAGAAAAAAGUAUAGUGAUGCUCUCAAGACGUUUUUGGGGAGAGGCAAAGAAGAUGCUGCUGCCACUGAAGGAGAACCAUCACGACUGGAAUCAAUCCCCUCUGAGACUCUCCUUUUCCCUGCUUCUUUGCCAGAUUAUUCCGUGAGUUUCCUAUGCAAGAGGCGCUCCCUUUCACCUGUUUGUUUCCCUUCCUGCCUGAGUCCUGUCUGGAUCUGCUGUAUCCUGUGAGACCCGAGACUAUACGCCGCUAGACCUGGACCUUUUGCUGUACCCUGCUUCUGUUUCUGGAAUAUCUCUGUAGUUUGCCUAACGCCCGUAUCGACGGCAGUUUCUGUUUGUUAUUUAUAGAAGAGGAUUUCUGUUCACCUGGACUGUUACUCUUUUAUUAUUAAAGACAUUGCAUUAUUACAUUUCGC